CUAAUUGAUACUUUACUUUUUUAUCUUCUUUUAAUGGUAAAAUUUUUUGGAAGGUAUUAAUUCAUUGCAUAUAGUUAAAAAUUGAAAGUUUUAGUUUUUAAUUAAUAUUUUUUACUAUUGAAGACUUAAACUAACAACUUAGUUUGAUUAGCAAAACCCUUAGAUUUAUAGGGUGUGAGUUCAAAUCCUAGGGUGGAGAUUCUUCUUAAACUUGUAACAUAAGUAAACAUAUCUCAUGGUCUUAAAAUAGGUAUAUAGACCAACAAGUACUAAAAUAUUCAUUGAUUUUUGGUGUCGAGUUUGCUGUAUCUGAUUAGUAAAGUAGUUACCAUGGAAAAUUUCACUUUAGCAUCAUGUGUGAAUGUUCAUGUUCUUCACAAACCACACCUGACUUAUGAGGAUUUGCAGGGAAAGAAGGGGAUUUGGCUUAAGUUGCCUAUUGAGAAAAGGUAAAUUAUUAGUACUUAUCAUAAUAACAUAAUAUGAUAAGUACAAAUUAAUAUCACCACGUCUUUCCCGGAUGCUAACAAAUUAUUAGGUACAUAUCAUAAUAUGUUAUUCUACUUCUAUGCUUUUAGGGUUCAUCAAAUUUCUCGGAGAAAUUAUUAUGUUAUUCUACUUUUACAGUGGCACAGAUUUGUUGAGGAGAAAUUAUUUGAUUGGGAAUUUGUCAAUGAUGAAAUAGGACAUGAUUGUGUUGUGCUAGAUACAAGAAGUUGUUGUGCACAGUCGACCUUACAAAGGAUUUCUUUUUCAGCUCCUCAUAUCACAUUAUGUGUAGUCUUCAAAGAAACAUGUGUGAUAAUGAGACAGGCCAUGUCCUUUAUGAGACCAUUUUUGUUUGGAAUGAAUUCUUGACACGAGGAAUUAGGAAUCACCUCCAGAAUGCUCUUUGGAUAGUUGAUUCUAGCGGCUGCAGGUGUAGCUAAAGAUCGCAAGUGCACCACUUUUCCUCCUGUUAAACCGGCAUUGGUUGCCUCCGGUACUCAUUGGGUUGAACCAGACACCAUGGCAGCAAAAGAUGGUAAUCUCAUUUCUGCCACCACUUAUGAAGGGCACCCUAAAUUUAUUCAGCACUUUAUGAAGGCACUAGGAGGCAACAUAAGUGGCUCCAACAAAAAAAAAUCUCUUCCUUUGUGGGGUACGUUCAAAUGAUUUUCAGGCACACAACUCAUAGGGACUUAGUCCUCAGAGCACUAAGGUCUUUGUUUAUUCUCUUUUCUUUCAUUUAUUUUAAUUUUAUAUUUAAUUUGUAAUCCUCUUUAUAUUCAUUGAUACAUAGAAAGUAGUAGUUUAGACAUGUUUUAUUUUUUUUACUCUAUUGUUGAAUGAUUGUUCAAUUGGAUAGUUAGAUCCA